UACGAAGGGGGCUAGCGUUGUUCGGAAUCACUGGGCGUAAAGGGCGCGUAGGCGGCCGAUCCAGUCGGGGGUGAAAGCCUGUGGCUCAACCACAGAAUUGCCUUCGAUACUGUUUGGCUUGAGACCGGAAGAGGUUAGUGGAACUGCGAGUGUAGAGGUGAAAUUCGUAGAUAUUCGCAAGAACACCAGUGGCGAAGGCGGCCGACUGGUCCGGUUCUGACGCUGAGGCGCGAAAGCGUGGGGAGCAAACAGG
rnacentral:rRNA from 1 species